GACGAACGCUGGCGGCGUGCCUAAUACAUGCAAGUCGAACGCAGUGGGGACGGGUGAGUAACACGUUGGUAACCUCCCAUCAGAGGGGAUAACACUUGUAAACAGGUGCUAAACCGAUACCGAUGGAUGGACCCGCGGUGCAUUGGCUAGUUGGUGAGGUAACGGCUCACAAAGGCCACGAUGCAUAGCCGACCGGGGAGAGUGAUCGGCCAAACUGGAACUGGGACACGGCCCAAAUUCCUACGGAAGGCGGCGGUGGGAAUUUUUCGGAAAUGAACAAAAGUGUGACCGGGAAACGCCGCGUAGGUGAAAAGGGUUUUCGGAUCGAAAGACUCUGUUGUUGGGAAAGCGGUAUCUAAACAGAAAGCCACGGCUAACUACGUGCCAGCAGCCGCGGUAAUAC
rnacentral:rRNA from 1 species